ensembl:lncRNA
GCCGUGAAAUAAUUUGGUUUAUUCUUGAGCUCAGACAGGCCCCAGCCUGCCUUCCCCUCAUACAAAGAGCACCCCCCACCUUAUUCGUCCAGAGGAGAAGACGAGGCCAUUGUCACCACACCGAGGGAUCACUGUUAAGAUACCAUGCGGCCACCUUCUGAGGGCCAAGGAAGGACACUGAGCUCUCUGGUCUGAAAGGGGCUGUGCCCUGCAGCAGUUCCUGGUGUGACAAUUCCCUGAGUAAGAAGGCUGGGAAACAGCUGCCAUGGGACCAGGCCAGGCACUUGGGCUGGACAGAGAAGGGCACAGGAAUCCCUGGUUUGAUGAAAAGUAAAGUACCCUAAAAACAUUGGGCCAAGAAAGGUGGUGUAGAAAUAAGGGGUUAAAAAAUAGAUUCUCUAGGGAAUAUAAAAAAGAACCCACUCCUGCUACAGAAGCUGCACUGGCCAGGGGGCCACACCAGAUAGGCUGGGGUCCCUGACUCCUUUCAGGACUCAUGGACUCACCCUGUUCCUAAUGAGGUCCCAGGAUGUGCCAGGCACUGGUGACAGGAAACAAAAACUGUGCCCUCAUGGAGCUUAUACUCCAUGGGAAAUAAAAUGGUGGAGGGGGUAGGAAUUAUCUUAGAUAAGGAGGUCAGGGAAGGCCUCUCAGAGCAGAUGACGUUUGAACAAAGACCUGAGCAAUGAGGAGCUAGUCCUGUGACCUAUGGGGGGAGAAUAUUCUAGGCAGAGGGAACAGCCUGUGUAAAGCCCCUGAGGCAGGAUGCUAAUAAAAAAAGGUUAUGUGAGGAGUUCCCCAGUGGCUUAGUGUGUUAAGGAUCCGGUGUUCCCACUAAUGUGGCUCAGAUCACUGCCCCGGUGCAGGUUCAAUCCCUGGCCCAGGAACUUCCACAUGCCAUGGAUGGGGCCAAAAAAAUAAGGCUAUGGGAUGCCCACAUUUGCCUGGGCAGCAAAGGCUGGCUGCCAGCAUCUCAGCAUAUCCCACUUGCAUACUCUUUCCUGGGUUGAGGGAAGGACAAAGUUAGGGAAACGUUUAGGAUUGAAAAAUGUGAGUUCCCUUGUGAUGCAGUGGCUUAAGGAUCCAGCGUUGUCACUACAGUGGCUCAGGUUGCUGCUAGAAUACGGGUUGGAUCCCUGGCCCAGCAACUUCCACAUGUCAGAGGGGGCAGGCCAUAGCCUUUUAAAAAAUUUUUUGUUUUCAGGGGUUCCCUGCUAGCCUAGCUGUUAAGGGUCUGGUGUUGUCAACGAUGCGGCACAUCAUGUUUGAUCCCUGGCCUGGGACUUCUGUAUGCCUCAAGCACAGCCAAAAAAAAAAUUCAUAUAACCAAUGCAAAAUGGCCUGAGGCUUGCACCUCCCAACUCUGGUCUGGGAUGAAGAAUAAUAAAAUGCUUUAGGAUGGGAGAUAAUGCUUCAAGAGGAACAAAAAUCAGGGCAAGGGAGGAAGAGAAGGAGAAAAACUCAGAUAACAUAGAACUCGACGCCAUCUGCCUCCACCAGAGAAUAAGGUCUCAAACCGAUUCUUCAGGGGCAGACAUCUGGUCCUAAGAAAGAUGUGGGGGCCAGCUGAAACUCACACCAGCUGAAGAGGGUAUCCUGGACUCUGAUCCAGGCAGGGAUGUCUCAUUCUGAAGCCAGAAAUCCAGAUUUUUAUGUAAGUGCUGGCAGUUUUUCCAACAAGGGUGAUUAAUUCAAAGUUUCAGUUUAAAAAAAUAAUAAACUUCUGUCCAGGUUAAACAUCCACAUUCAGCCUGCAGGUGGCCCAUUUAAAACCUCUGACUUGUUAGCAGGCUCUGAUGCUUGGACAGGAUUAUGGCUCUGCCACAGGAUCCUCUCCAGCAUACUGGUGAUGCCCAACGACGGGCACAGAGGUGGGAAAAGUCCUCAUAGGGGCCCUCUUUCUGCCUUCUGAAAUCUGCUCUCUCGGGCUCACACAGUAGUCCCAAAAAGGGCAGGCUGGCGGUGGUCCCUGUCCUCUUCCUCCCCAGUACUGUUGGCAAGAGGUGAACUGGGACCACCAGGGAGUACGUGGCUGGGGUCACUGGCUGGCAGGGGCCCCAGCCGCUCAGCCUCAACCAGGGUGGCCAGCAGCCCAGCCAGGAGUGGCCGACGGCGGCAGAUGUCCUGCAGCAGUUCCGCCCGGGGCAGCAGCUGCCGGAUGAGCUCGUCCCUCUGGCGCACAGCAGCCUGCAGGCUCUGGACAGCAGCCUCGGAGGUCAGCAACUGCUCCUGGAGAGUGGCAAUCUCACUGGCAGGAAGGUAAGACGGGGCAGUUAUGGUACCCGGAGCCCAAGGCUCUCUUCCCCUGCUCCUGUCUUCCAUCCCUGUCAAGAUAAAACUUACUCCCUUGUUAUGGACCGAAUGUCUCUGUUCCCCCUGCCAAAUUCAUAUGUUGAAUGCCUACCCCUAAUGUGAUGUAUUUGGAGAUGAGGCCUUGAGAGGAACAUAAAGUUUAGAUGAGGUCAUGAGGGUUUCCUUACAAGGAGAGACCCCAGAGAGCUUACUCUCACUCACUUGCUCGGUCGCUCACUCUGUGUGUGUGUGUGUGUGUGUGUGUGUGUGUGCGCGCACGCACACCAUGUGAGGACACAGUGAGAUGACCAUCUACAAGCCAGGAGGGGGACCCUCACCAGGAACUAAAUCUGUCAGUAUCUUGAUCUUGGAUUUCCCAGCCUCCAGAACCACGAGAAAUAAUUUGCUGUUGUUUAAGCCAUGCAGUCUGUGCCACUGUGGUAAUGGCAAUCUCAGCAGACUAACACUCCUUCAUUGAUUACCCUAGCUCCUCCUGCAGUUCUCUUGUCCUAUUUGUUGUUCAUCUUAGAUGGCUCCUCGUCCAGGAAGUCUUCCCUCUGGGCCCCCUCAGAGCUGCAUGGCCCUCCAUCAAACCCAGAUCACCCCAUGUUGGUUGCCUCGCCCACAGCAUGUGGCCCAGGACCGAACCUGAGCCACAGCAGUGACACCAGAUCCUUAACCUCUAGGCCACCAAGGAACUCCAAAUCAGCCCCACGUUGUAACUGCCUAGGAAUGUAUCUGCUUGAGGGCAAGGCUGCAUAGAUCUCACUGAUGUGACCUGAUAACCAGCACAGUGCCUGGCACAUAGCAGGUGCUCAGUAAAGCUGAAGUAAUCCAACCAGCCCUGACUUUUUUCCCACCUGGGCCUCAGCACCUCCUUUGUCCCUGGGCACCUGUCUCAUCCCUUUCAAUCCUUCAGCUACAGGGAUUCUUCAAAACGGCUGAUAUGAUCUCAUCCUCCUCAAGAACCUGCUGUAGCUCUCUGCACCACUCAGGACCAGCCAAUUUUGCCUAGUGGUAAAACAGGCCCUGUUUAAGUUAGCUAUUCACGUUUGUGUGACAUCCCUCAACCUUACACACUGAUGACUAAUUCAAAUAUUUUAGUGUUUGUCAAUCCCACCAGUAGUCCAGCUCCACGUGAAUGCACGAUUUCCCUGGCCGGUCCUCCUUUUCAAUAUAGGCUCUGCCUCCGCCCACCUCUUCCGAGAAGUCCACCUGGCGGGCCCAGAGCCUCACCGGUCCUUGGCGCGGCCCAGCUCGUCCAGGGCGGCGCGCAACUGCUGGUCGUGGCGGGCCAGGCGCUCCGCCUGGGAAUCCCACCAGUAGUCCAGCUCCACGCGCUCCGCCUGGGCUGGGUGCCUCGCGGAUUUGCAGGGGUGGCGGCGCUGACAUGGCCCCUGCUGCUGUCCAGGCCCGGCCACGCCCACAGGCGGCCCGGAACAAGCCUAAGCCAAGCCCCCUGGAGGACGGCGCCCGCCCUAGAGGUCCGUCCAGGACUUCGGCGUGAUUGGCCAUAACCCUCUCUAGGCUCCGCCCCCAGGGUGCGCCUUCCUCAAACCCAAACACCCUCACUGGUUCCAGCAACUCAAAACUCCGCCCCUGAGCCCGGCCUAACUCCAAGAUUGGCCAAAGUCUUGACAAACCACGCCCCAAAGAUGUCGUCACGUUCCAGCUCUGGCCACUGGAUUGGUCAUCCCUUAGAGACAGGCACCGCCCUACUCAGACGCUAACGCGCGAAGUUGGUCAGAGCCCACAAGCUUGACCACGCCCCAGAACCGCCCCUUAGGCAAAGGUACAGCUCGGGAUCAGUCAAGUCCCCUCCAGGUUCUAUUUCCGUUCUGGUCACGCCUCAAGCCUAGGACCUCCUACAACCCGCCCAGGAGUUGGACUAGCCACAGACUGGGCACGGACCUAGUCUCCCUAAGAAUCCUAGUACUGGAAUUAGUACUUUCGCAUUAAACCCAAGAACCUGGCCACGCCCCCAAAUAGUCGCAUGCGGUUCAGACUCCGGUUUAAGACUGGCCACAGGACAUGACCACGCCUCCCCACAGAUUCUGGCUCUGGGAGUGGCCAUAUCCCCUCUAUGCCCCGCCCCAUCUUGAGGUCUCGCUCCUAUCAAGUGGAGCCUCUCAUCUGUGCGCCUGGAUAGGCUUAAUACCUGUGAUGCUCCCGCCCUUAGGCCCCACCUCUGGGAGUCAAAUCUUUCCCGGCCCAGGUCCUUCUGAACUGGAAUUAGCAACAUUUCACUGGUCCUGGUCGGCCUCAGUUUCCCUCUUCAGAAAUCGGCCAGGGGUGCACGUGCACUUUACCGCCAGUUCAGGCUGCAGCACUUGAGCGCUGCGCGUGUCCACAUCCGCGGCGCUCAAUAAAGUUGCUCGCAUGUUGCCU